GACGAACGCUGGCGGCGUGCUUAACACAUGCAAGUCGAACGGAAAGGCCCUGCUUUUGUGGGGUGCUCGAGUGGCGAACGGGUGAGUAACACGUGAGUAACCUGCCCUUGACUUUGGGUUAACUUCAGGAAACUGGGGCUAUUACCGGAUAGGAGCUCCUGCUGCAUGGUGGGGGUGGGAAAGUUUCGGCGGUUGGGGAUGGACUCGCGGCUUAUCAGCUUGUUGGUGGGGUAGUGGCUUACCAAGGCUUUGACGGGUAGCCGGCCUGAGAGGGUGACCGGCCACAUUGGGACUGAGAUACGGCCCAGACUCCUACGGGAGGCAGCAGUGGGGAAUAUUGCACAAUGGGCGGAAGCCUGAUGCAGCAACGCCGCGUGCGGGAUGACGGCCUUCGGGUUGUAAACCGCUUUCGCCUGUGACGAAGCGUGAGUGACGGUAAUGGGUAAAGAAGCACCGGCUAACUACGUG
rnacentral:rRNA from 1 species